ACAAUGCGGGACUAUCAGUCUUGCAAUUGGAUUGAGAACAAUGUACAACUCUUAUCGAUAAGCCAUUGGAGGGCAAGUCUGGUGCCAGCAGCCGCGGUAAUUCCAGCUCCAAUAGCGUAUAUUAACGUUGUUGCAGUUAAAAAGCUCGUAGUUGAAGUGUGGGUGAUCGCUGUUGUGAGACUUCGGUCUCUCGACAGUAAGUCACCCCCUUCCAGUAUCCAGUAGUGGGUAUUCAGUUACUUACUAUUGUGUGUUGGUCCUUUACUGUGAGAAAAUUAGAGUGUUCAAAGCAGGCGUUUGCUUGAAUAGAUUAGCAUGGAAUAAUAAUUGAAGGCUUUCGUGUUCGAUUUGAUUGGUUUGUUCAUGGAAGCAAGGUUAAAAGGAACAGUUGGGGGUAUUCAUAUUCACUAGUUAGAGGUGAAAUUCUCGGAUUUAUGGAA
rnacentral:rRNA from 2 species